rnacentral:lncRNA from 1 species
ACAGCCUCUUUACAAACUAACUUUGGGAACUCAGCCAACUUGUCCAUUGGAAACUGGAAUGAAAUGCUUUUCAUUUGUAUAGGGCUUUGUUCUUUCAAAAGCUCUCUUGGAUCCACUAUCUGGUCCAAUCCUCACAAUGACCCUGUUUCAGACCCAAGAAGCUUCCCUUUUGUUAUUGUGGCCAUAAAAGUUUCCCCUUUUUUUGGAGAGAUUACUUUAUCCGGAGAGAAGAUGUUUUCCCCAUAUUCAUAGAAACGAUGUCCAUCCUCUUCUCCUACAGAGACCCGAUGACAUAAUGAGGUGAUGUCUUGACUCGUGUAUGAAUUGUACUUUAGAGGAGCAGAUUUGCACAAAGCCAUUAGCAUCAUUCCUCCAGAGUCAUCAAAUCCAACGACAAGGCAGAAGUCAGGAUAAUUGAUGAUGGCCCAAGAGACAGUGAACAACCUUGACAUCUUCGAUUUCUGACCAAACUCUAGCACUCCAGAGCACCUGCUUCAGCCACCUUCAUGGGCAUUAGAACAAACUGACCUCAUCUGCCCCUUCCACUGCUGGACAAAGUCUUCACAUGCCUGGGGUGAACACCCACUAACUCACUGCCAGGGUUGAGCCCUGUUAGUUACCCUAAACCUGGUUUGGCCUGUCUACCUACAUGGCUUACCAAAGUGUGUGAUUCAGCUUCUUGGAGUCACAGGUGAGAGUUGAGUGCCACAAAGGUGGACAAGCGGCCAUGAAAAGGGGGCAAAUCCUCAUAUCAGAGGUGCUAGUGCUCCUUGAACACCCAUACACCCCACUUACCAAGAGUAAAGCAAAAGACACUACGACAAUAAAUCUGCUAUUCCCUUAGCA